rnacentral:tRNA from 1 species
GAAUAUGUAGCUGAGUGGUACAGCACACGCUUAGCAUGUGUGAGGCCCUGGGUUCAAUCUCCAGUAUCA